rnacentral:rRNA from 1 species
GACGAACGCUGGCGGCGUGCUUAACACAUGCAAGUCGAGCGGUAAGGCCCUUUCGGGGGUACACGAGCGGCGAACGGGUGAGUAACACGUGGGUGACCUGCCCUCAGCUCUGGGAUAAGCCUGGGAAACCGGGGUCUAAUACCGGAUAUGACUCCAUGACGCAUGUUGUGGGGUGGAAAGCCUUGUGCGGCUGAGGAUGGGCCCGCGGCCUAUCAGCUUGUUGGUGGGGUGAUGGCCUACCAAGGCGACGACGGGUAGCCGGCCUGAGAGGGCGACCGGCCACACUGGGACUGAGACACGGCCCAGACUCCUACGGGAGGCAGCAGUGGGGAAUCUUGCGCAAUGGGCGAAAGCCUGACGCAAGCGACGCCGCGUGAGGGAUGACGGCCU